GUCACCGUAGCUCAAUGGAUAGAGCAACUCCGUCCUAAGGAGGAGGUUGUGGGUUCAACUCCCACCGGUGGCACCA
rnacentral:tRNA from 1 species